rnacentral:rRNA from 1 species
AGAGUUUGAUCCUGGCUCAGGAUGUACGCUGGCGGCGUGCUUAACACAUGCAAGUCGAACGGGGAUUACACGGAGAUGCGAUUUCGGUCAAAUCAAGUGCAAUCUUAGUGGCGGACGGGUGAGUAACGCGUGGGUAACCUGCCUUGCACUGGGGGAUAACACUUAGAAAUAGGUGCUAAUACCGCAUAAGCGCACGGUCCUGCAUGGGACAGUGUGAAAAACUCCGGUGGUGCAAGAUGGACCCGCGUCUGAUCAGCUGGUUGGCGGGGUAAAGGCCCACCAAGGCGACGAUCAGUAGCCGGCCUGAGAGGGUGGACGGCCACAUUGGGACUGAGACACGGCCCAAACUCCUACGGGAGGCAGCAGUGGGGGACAUUGGACAAUGGGGGGAACCCUGAUCCAGCGACGCCGCGUGAGUGAAGAAGUAUUUUGGUAUGUAAAGCUCUGUCAGCAGGGAAGAAAGCAAUGACGGUACCUGACCAAGAAGCCCCGGCUAACUACGUGCCAGCAGCCGCGGUAAUACGUAGGGGGCAAGCGUUAUCCGGAAUGACUGGGCGUAAAGGGUGCGUAGGCGGUUGUACAAGUUAGAAGUGAAAUACCCAGGGCUUAACUCGGGUGCUGCUUCUAAAACUGUAUGACUUGAGUGCAGUAGAGGUUAGUGGAAUUCCUAGUGUAGCGGUGGAAUGCGUAGAUAUUAGGAGGAACACCAGAGGCGAAGGCGGCUAACUGGACUGCAACUGACGCUGAGGCACGAAAGUGUGGGGAGCAAACAGGAUUAGAUACCCUGGUAGUCCACACUGUAAACGAUGGAUACUAGAUGUAGGAGGUAUCGACUCCUUCUGCGUCGCAGUUAACACGAUAAGUAUCCCGCCUGGGGAGUACGGCCGCAAGGUUGAAACUCAAAGGAAUUGACGGGGACCCGCACAAGCAGCGGAGCAUGUGGUUUAAUUCGAAGCAACGCGAAGAACCUUACCAAGACUUGACAUCGUAUGACCGCCAUAGAGAUAUGGAAUUCCCUUCGGGGACAUAUAGACAGGUGGUGCAUGGUUGUCGUCAGCUCGUGUCGUGAGAUGUUAGGUUAAGUCCUGCAACGAGCGCAACCCUUAUGAACAGUUGCCAAUAUUAAGUUAGGAACUCUGUUCAGACUGCCGAGGUUAACUCGGAGGAAGGUGGGGAUGACGUCAAAUCAUCAUGCCCCUUACGUCUUGGGCUACACACGUGCUACAAUGGCUACUACAAAGGGCAGCGAGCUGGUAACAGUAAGCCAAUCUCAAAAAAGUAGUCUCAGUUCGGAUUGUAGUCUGCAACCCGACUACAUGAAGCCGGAAUCGCUAGUAAUCGCGGAUCAGAAUGCCGCGGUGAAUACGUUCCCGGGUCUUGUACUCACCGCCCGUCA